UACCACAAAUAUGUAUAUUAAGAUAGCUUGUUACAAUACGAUCAUAAUUUUCUCUUUGCGUUAUAUCUUGCAGCUUUAGUAAUUGGUUUAUUGUUGUUGACAGACAUACUGUAUGUACAGUGAGACAGAACGAUGAGCGCAUCUGCAUCGAAGGUGAAGCUCUCAGAGCUGAUAGUUUAUUCCUGCGUCCUUUUUGUGCAAUACAGUACAGAAUACAUCCUGUAAGUAUAAUAAUUAUUACCACCUCUGCUAUUACCACUGAACUAAGAUCAAUUCACAAUCUGUGAAGACGAUUAGACAAAAUAAAAUAAAAAAAAACUAAUUUAGAGUUUGUUUCUACCUUUCUGCUGGGUAUCCAACUAAUGCAGAGUAUAUUCAAGUUGCCAACAUACUGGUUGUGAAGAACCCUUUCCAGAGAAAUAUAAAAGGAAAUGACUGUGAAACUUGUGUUGGGGAGUAUCAGAAAACACAUCCAGACACCUGGACUGUCAAAGACCACACAGCACAAACAUUCUCCUGGAGACGCUGAGAAAGCACAGAAGGAAUGUCUGUGGAGGAUGUACUCAAACACACCCAUACUUAAGGACACCUGCUGGAGGGGACCCUGUUACACCAUUUCCUACCAUACAGCUGAUGGAUACUGACUGGAAAAUGGUAAUCAUAGGAGGAGGGUUCAGUGUGGUGACAGAAGAUGGAAUAGACGUGUGUCAGUGCACCAGCCUUGGUGAAGCCUUCAUAACAGCCUUCUGGAUGUAUUUUGCUUUCAACAUUGCAUAUCCAACAUACCUGAGAAAGACA